rnacentral:rRNA from 1 species
AUUAACAGGAUUAGAUACCCUGGUAGUCCACGCUGUAAACGAUGUCGAUUUGGAGGUUGUGCCCUUGAGGCGUGGCUUCCGGAGCUAACGCGUUAAAUCGACCGCCUGGGGAGUACGGCCGCAAGGUUAAAACUCAAAUGAAUUGACGGGGGCCCGCACAAGCGGUGGAGCAUGUGGUUUAAUUCGAUGCAACGCGAAGAACCUUACCUACUCUUGACAUCCAGAGAACUUUCCAGAGAUGGAUUGGUGCCUUCGGGAACUCUGAGACAGGUGCUGCAUGGCUGUCGCCAGCUCGUGUUGUGAAAUGUUGGGUUAAGUCCCGCAACGAGCGCAACCCUUAUCCUUUGUUGCCAGCGGUUCGGCCGGGAACUCAAAGGAGACUGCCAGUGAUAAACUGGAGGAAGGUGGGGAUGACGUCAAGUCAUCAUGGCCCUUACGAGUAGGGCUACACACGUGCUACAAUGGCGUAUACAAAGAGAAGCGACCUCGCGAGAGCAAGCGGACCUCAUAAAGUACGUCGUAGUCCGGAUUGGAGUCUGCAACUCGACUCCAUGAAGUCGGAAUCGCUAGUAAUCGUAGAUCAGAAUGCUACGGUGAAUACGUUCCCGGGCCUUGUACACACCGCCCGUCACACCAUGGGAGUGGGUUGCAAAAGAAGUAGGUAGCUUAACCUUCGGGAGGGCGCUUACCACUUUGUGAUUCAUGACUGGGGUGAAGUCGUAACAAGGUAGCAAU